rnacentral:rRNA from 1 species
CCAGGAUGUUGGCUUAGAAGCAGCCAUCAUUUAAAGAAAGCGUAAUAGCUCACUGGUCGAGUCGGCCUGCGCGGAAGAUGUAACGGGGCUAAACCAUGCACCGAAGCUGCGGCAGCGAACGUAUCACCCAAGACAACUUUACGGAGUUGACGAUUGACGGAGCGAAGCGACGUCAAAGCGUUCAUUAAAGUCGAGUUGGCUUAGGGAUACGUUCGUUGGGUAGGGGAGCGUUCUGUAAGCCUGUGAAGGUGGCCUGUGAGGGUUGCUGGAGGUAUCAGAAGUGCGAAUGCUGACAUAAGUAACGAUAAAGCGGGUGAAAAGCCCGCUCGCCGGAAGACCAAGGGUUCCUGUCCAACGUUAAUCGGGGCAGGGUGAGUCGACCCCUAAGGCGAGGCCGAAAGGCGUAGUCGAUGGGAAACGGGUUAAUAUUCCCGUACUUGGUGUUACUGCGAAGGGGGGACGGAGAAGGCUAUGUUGGCCGGGCGACGGUUGUCCCGGUUUAAGCGUGUAGGUGUGUGUUCCAGGUAAAUCCGGUUCACUUUAACACUGAGGCGUGAUGACGAGGCACUACGGUGCUGAAGCAACAAAUGCCCUGCUUCCAGGAAAAGCCUCUAAGCAUCAGGUAACAUCAAAUCGUACCCCAAACCGACACAGGUGGUCAGGUAGAGAAUACCAAGGCGCUUGAGAGAACUCGGGUGAAGGAACUAGGCAAAAUGGUGCCGUAACUUCGGGAGAAGGCACGCUGACACGUAGGUGAAGUGAUUUACUCACGGAGCUGAA